GGUGUUGCCCUCGAGCCAACGAGAAUAUGAGCCGACCUCCGUGCAGGGUUUCGGGGCCACCUCCAGGCUGCAGGGACGGGUGUCACUCACCCCCCCGGUCUUCUCUCUGCCUUGGUGUCCUGGCUUCAGACUCCCCCUUCCUGUUGAGACCGGAGUGCCUCGGUCCGUCCCCAGCCUGAGUCUUCUCUUCGCCCUGCCAGGUGGGCUGAGGCCUGUCCUUGGUUCCUGCGGAGCUGGCCCUGGCUGGGCAGGGUGGGGCAUCACCACGUCCCUGGCCUUGCUGGAAGCACAGGGCCCUGCUGACCUGCAGCCGUCUGUGAGGCCCUCGUGGACGGGAGGGGAGGGGGCAGGUGGCCUGGAGAGAGGGGUUCAGGAACUGGGGCCUCGUGGCCUAGAGCGGCUCUGCAGGGGCAUUGGUGGGACCCUCACUCAGGCCUUCUCUCCGCUACCAGUGUGUCUAAGACUUGGAACCUGAGAACCCUGAGUCGUAGUGCCCUUGGUCCCGGGCCACACGCAGGCCCUGGUGGGACCACCCAGCCCGGUGGUGUCCAGAGACAGCGUGCUCACCCAGAGCCUUACUUGGGAGCCUCACUGAACGCCCGCUCCGGUUGAAGGUGGGGGGCUGAGGGCCUCCCCGGCUCAGCCCCGUGCGGCCCGGCGCUCCACCCCCAGGUUCUCCCCCGUCCAGUGGUGCAGGGCUCUCUCAGGUUGAACUCGCCUCUUUUGCACUGGAAGGCCCUUCCUUUGGCCUGAGUCCUUUUCCUGUUCACGCCUCAGUCCCAUGGACCCAGCCUUUGUCAGUAGCAGGUGCCUGAACAGCAGAUGGGUGGGGGGAUGCAGGAGGGGGCCUUGUCUUCCCAGCAGCAGUCUAGGAAUGGAUCGGGGGAGUAGGCGUCUUCUCCAAAGGCUUUCCCCACCUGGAGCAGGGGAGUGUGGGCUGCCCCAGCAGGGGCUCCUCGGUGGGGAGGGGAGCUGCCUGGGGGGUUGGGCCGGGAGGCAGCGGCUCAGAGGGGCAGCGUUCCAGCCUUGGUUGGGAGGAGUGUCCAUUCUUUGCCUUCCUGGAGCUUCCAGCCAGAGCUGAGCUGAGGGACUGGGUGGAGCCUGCAGCUGAGUCUGCCCGAGACAGAGACUGUUCAGAGGUUCCAGAAGCCUCUCAUUCCCGCCCCCCUCCACCCCCGCCUUUUAGUGGCGUGGAUCCCCAGAGGUGCCCUCUGUCCAGCCACCAUCCUGAGGCGGAGUGGCGAGCCUCACACCUGUAACAGGCCCCUGGCCAGCUGGGUCCCUCCCAGGCACUGCCGGGUGCUCUGGGGCCCAAUGGUGGGAGCGUGAGAGACCCCACACCAACACCCGGUGCCUUCUGCAGCCAGUGCCCAUCCGUGUGCACCCCGACACUUGGGAAUGCCCGCGGCUCCAGAGGAAGAAGCCCAGGGCCGGGGCCUCGUUUUCGGGGGCUCGGCUGCUUCUUGGCAGUCCUGCCGUUUCCAGCUCUGGCUGGCUGGCUGUAAAGCACUGAGGCCCGCCCCGGGCUGCCAACCCCUGAAAGCAGAACCCUGGCCUCCCUGGCCCCUGCAGCCUUCUCCACCAGCCCUCGUGGCCUGGGUUCUUCCUGCAGCCUUCCCCCCAGCCCACAUGGCCUGGGUUCUUCCUGCAGCCUUCCUGCCCCUUCUCAUCAGCCUUGUGGUUGUACAACCAGUGCUGUUGGUUUGGAAAGGUGACGCGUGAGGAGUGUGGCUCGUUACUCAGUGGAGAGGUAGAGUUUCUAUUUAUCCAGACCUGCAGUAGCAUUACCAAUCUGGUUCAAUUAAGGUGAUUUUUUGGUAAUUAUUAUUUUGGUGGGACAAUCUUUAAUUUUCUAAAGAUAGCACUAACAUCAGCUCAUUAGCCACCUGUGCCUGUCCCCGGCUCGGCCCGGCUGGAUGAAGUGGCUUCCCCACAGGCCCCCCCUUCGCAGUGGCUGCUUCCUGGGCCACAAGGGCACCCCGGCGCCUUCAGGCGAGCUCCUCAGCUGGUCACCUCCUUGCUUUGCCUUCCGAUGGGGCUCCUGAGGCUGAGGAGUGAAGAUGCCGCAGAGCCGGGCCACCCUAGGCUUCGUCGGGUGUGUUCUGGAAGCUGGCCUGCUGGGACCCUCCACCCUGGGGCCUGUGUCAGCCACCGGUCCUCUGCACCCUGGAAGCACACGGGCUCUGGGAAAGACAGCCCUGACCUUCGGUGUUCCAAGUCACUGUGUUCCCCAAGAAUUCUGGGCUGGCGGCCUGAUGGCCGUGCUGGAGAAGACCCUGAGCCUUUCCCCGUGGGGCACCCAGGAGGGCCUGGCCAGUAUGUGCAGCCUGUGGGUGGCCGGCUGACGUCCCUGCCGUGCUCAGGGUGUGUCACCUGGUGCCCAUCCAUACAGGUGUGUGGUGUAACAUGUAUGUGCUGUACAGACGUGUGGAGAGAGCCGCGCACCAGGGCCACGGAGAGGCGGAGCAGUUACCAAUGUUUCGUGUUUAUUUUUAAUCAAGACGUUUCCCGUUUUCCUAUAAAUUUGCUUAGUGUAAGCAAGUACAUAAGGACCCUCCUUUGGUGAAAUCCGGGUUCGAAUGAAUAUCUCAAGGCAGGAGAUGCAUCUAUUUUAAGAUGCUUUGGAGCAGACAGCUUUAGCCGUUCCCAAUCCUUAGCAAUGCCUUAGCUGGGACGCAUAGCUAAUACUUUAGAGAGGAUGACGGAUACAUAAGAGAGUAAAGAUAAGAGAAAAUGUCUAAAGCAUCUGGAAAGGUAAAAAAAAAAAUCUAUUUUUGUACAAAUGUAAUUUUAUCCCUCAUGUAUACUUGGAUAUGGCGGGGGGAGGGCUGGGACUGUUUUGUUUCUGCUUCUAGAGAUUGAUGUGAACGCUUCCUCGGAGAGACGCCAGGGCAGGCGGUGGCAGAGGAGAGGGCCCUUGUGACAGCGGCGAGGCUUGGGAGGAAACCACCACCGGGGCCAUCUUCCUUGGGGACGGGAGGGUGGGCCUGAGGCUUUCAAGGGUUUUCUUCCCCUUUUGAGUAAUUUUUAAAGCCUUGCUCUGUUGUGUCCUGUGGCCAGCCUUCCUGUGACUGUGACUGAAACGGUUUCCCCAUAGAUCGUCUGAAACAUGGCGGCCGCAGGUGCUGGGGCCUGAUGGACAGUGGCAUAGAAUUGUGGAAAAGAAACACCCAAAGGGAGACACGUGAGAGAAGAAACAAAAUAUGAGUGUUUAAAAUACAUCGCCAUUCAGUUCUUGUUU